AGUGAACGCUGGCGGUAGGCCUAACACAUGCAAGUCGAACGGCAGCGCAGUAAGAGCUUGCUCUUACGGGUGGCGAGUGGCGGACGGGUAAGGAAUACAUCGGAAUCUACUUUUUCGUGGGGGAUAACGUAGGGAAACUUACGCUAAUACCGCAUACGACCUACGGGUGAAAGCAGGGGAUCUUCGGACCUUGCGCGAUUGAAUGAGCCGAUGUCGGAUUAGCUAGUUGGCGGGGUAAAGGCCCACCAAGGCGACGAUCCGUAGCUGGUCUGAGAGGAUGAUCAGCCACACUGGAACUGAGACACGGUCCAGACUCCUACGGGAGGCAGCAGUGGGGAAUAUUGGACAAUGGGCGCAAGCCUGAUCCAGCCAUACCGCGUGGGUGAAGAAGGCCUUCGGGUUGUAAAGCCCUUUUGUUGGGAAAGAAAAGCAGCAGGUUAAUACCCCGCUGUUCUGACGGUACCCAAAGAAUAAGCACCGGCUAACUUCGUG
rnacentral:rRNA from 1 species